UGUGAGCUUGUAUAAAAGGAUGAGCACGGAUUAAUUUAGAGAUUAAAAAGACUUUAACGCAGUACAUCAGGGUAAGUCUCACACCGAGAUACCCUAUACGGAUAUAUUCCUUACGGGAUAUAAAGAUAUAUAACUGGUCAUCGUCAUAUUUAUGAUUGCAGUAUCGGAUAUGUUGGAUAUAAAUAAAAAUUAAUUGAAACCUGCACCAA